GUGUCAGCAGCCGCGGUAAGACAGAGGGUGCAAACGUUGCUCGGAAUCACUGGGCGUAAAGGGCGCGUAGGCGGACAAGUAAGUCGGGCGUGAAAUCCCUAGGCUCAACCUAGGAACUGCACUCGAAACUGCAUGUCUUGAGUACCGGAGAGGAAAGCGGAAUACCUGGUGUAGAGGUGAAAUUCGUAGAUAUCAGGUGGAACACCAGUGGCGAAGGCGGCUUUCUGGACGGUAACUGACGCUGAGGCGCGAAAGCGUGGGGAGCAAACAGGAUUAGAAACCCUAGUAGUCC
rnacentral:rRNA from 1 species